rnacentral:tRNA from 1 species
AGCAGCAUGGCGCAGUGGUAGCGCGCGCGGCCCAUAACCCCGAGGUCACUUGAUCGAAACAAGUUGCUGCUA